GCCCGGACGGACUGCACCAACAGAGCGCUCAGCUCAGCAGUGGGUUUUUCUGAAAAGCAAUGCAGGUGCAGGUGAUGGAGAACCCAACAGAAGUCGUUUACAUUAAGGACGUCCCCAUGUUCUGCUUGAAAGGUGCUAUUGCUGUGUUUCUUCUGAUGUAAUUUUGUGCUGCAUUUGCAUUCAACGGCAGAGGCAGACAUAACAGCGCUUUACGGGAUCUGCCAAAGCUUGUUCUGCUGCCCAUGAACACUCAGCACAUGAGCAUACACCGUCUUGGCAUCAGCGGGCUCUUUGUGGGCCAGGACAUCCUGCCUGAGUGCUGCAGAGCGCCAGCAUGUCACCACCUUGGAGGCCCAAGAGUGCCCCCACUCGGCUGCCCCCGGCACGGCCCCCGAUCCGGUCCCCCAGCUGUAGUGCCAGGAGCAGAGCAGCCUGCUGCCUUACCUGCCAUGGUAGCUCGAGAGUGGCAGCGGGGGCUUCCGUGACUGCUGGGGUCAGCCCCUCUGCCCUGAGGUUACAGUGCCCCUCUGUGACACGGUCCCGUGGUGGCACAGGCAUUGCUCUGUGCCCGCCCCGUCACCAGCUCUUGCUGUGUCUACAUUCGUGGUGGUGACAGCAUGGGACGAGUGUGGGGAGCUAUGGCCCAUCUCAUACUCCUCCUGAUGGCUGCAACUUGCUCUAAGGUCGGUGCUGUUCUGUUGGCAGCAUCGGAAAAGUGAGCGGCAUGGGGGGCAAGAAGUCAGGUUGUGUCCCCACGGCCAGUUUGCUGACUGCCCUGGGGCUGUCCUUGCAUGGGGGACGUGCUGGGCAGGGGAAGUCGGCCAGCACCCAGUUCCAUCACAGGGUCCCCUCAGCUCCCAGCCCAAGGGAAGAGCCAGGCACGUUUUCCUCCCGUGCUGUGGUUUCACUCUCACGCUCAGCACAUGAGCGCAGAUGGUCUCGGCUCCAGCAGCCUCCCCAUGUGUCAAUCCGGCCUGCCAGGGUGCAGCUGAGCCACAGCACAUCACCGCCCA